rnacentral:rRNA from 1 species
AAUGGCAUAAGCCAGCUUGACUGCGAGCGUGACGGCGCGAGCAGGUGCGAAAGCAGGUCAUAGUGAUCCGGUGGUUCUGAAUGGAAGGGCCAUCGCUCAACGGAUAAAAGGUACUCCGGGGAUAACAGGCUGAUACCGCCCAAGAGUUCAUAUCGACGGCGGUGUUUGGCACCUCGAUGUCGGCUCAUCACAUCCUGGGGCUGAAGUAGGUCCCAAGGGUAUGGCUGUUCGCCAUUUAAAGUGGUACGCGAGCUGGGUUUAGAACGUCGUGAGACAGUUCGGUCCCUAUCUGCCGUGGGCGCUGGAGAACUGAGGGGGGCUGCUCCUAGUACGAGAGGACCGGAGUGGACGCAUCACUGGUGUUCGGGUUGUCAUGCCAAUGGCACUGCCCGGUAGCUAAAUGCGGAAGAGAUAAGUGCUGAAAGCAUCUAAGCACGAAACUUGCCCCGAGAUGAGUUCUCCCUGACUCCUUGAGAGUCCUGAAGGAACGUUGAAGACGACGACGUUGA